CUACGGAGGAUGCAAGCGUUAUCCGGAUUUAUUGGGUUUAAAGGGUGCGUAGGCGGGAAGUCAAGUCUGUGGUGAAAAGUCCGGGCCUAACCUAGAUCGUGCCAUGGAAACUGUCUUUCUUGAAUAGUGGUGCCGUUGGCGGAAUGUGAAGGGUAGCGGUGAAAUGCUUAGAUAUUACACAGAACACCGAUUGCGAAAGCAGCUGACGAACCACCGAUUGACGCUGAUGCACGAAAGUGCGGGUAUCGAACAGGAUUAGAUACCCUGGUAGUCCGCACAGUAAAUGAUGACAACUGGCUGUUGGCGAUAUACCGUUCAGUAGCGUAGCGAAAGCGUUAAGUUGUCCACCUGGGGAGUACGACCGCAAGGUUGAAACUCAAAGGAAUUGACGGGG
rnacentral:rRNA from 1 species